CCUACGGGUGGCAGCAGUGGGGAAUAUUGCGCAAUGGGCGAAAGCCUGACGCAGCGACGCCGCGUGAGGGAUGAAGGUCUUCGGAUCGUAAACCUCUGUCAGCAGGGAAGAACGGUCACUGUGCUAAUCAGCAGUGAAUUGACGGUACCUGCACAGGAAGCACCGGCUAACUACGUGCCAGCAGCCGCGGUAAUACGGAGGGGGCGAGCGUUAAUCGGAAUUACUGGGGGUAAAGCGCUCGUAGGCGGUAUGUCAAGUCAAGGGUGAAAUCCCCGCGCUUAACGGGGGAACUGCCUUUGAAACUGGGAGACUGGAGUGUGUGAGAGGAUAGUGGAAUUCCAGGUGUAGGGGUGAAAUCCGUAGAUAUCUGGAGGAACAUCAGAGGCGAAGGCGACUAUCUGGCACAUAACUGACGCUGAGGAGCGAAAGCGUGGGUAGCAAACAGGAUUAGAUACCCGUGUAGUC
rnacentral:rRNA from 1 species